UCAGGCCUAACACAUGCAAGUCGAACGGCAGCACGGGAGCAAUCCUGGUGGCGAGUGGCGAACGGGUGAGUAAUACAUCGGAACGUGCCCAAUCGUGGGGGAUAACGUAGCGAAAGCUACGCUAAUACCGCAUACGAUCUACGGAUGAAAGCGGGGGAUCGCAAGACCUCGCGCGAAUGGAGCGGCCGAUGGCAGAUUAGGUAGUUGGUGGGGUAAAGGCUCACCAAGCCAACGAUCUGUAGCUGGUCUGAGAGGACGACCAGCCACACUGGAACUGAGACACGGUCCAGACUCCUACGGGAGGCAGCAGUGGGGAAUUUUGGACAAUGGGCGCAAGCCUGAUCCAGCAAUGCCGCGUGCAGGAUGAAGGCCUUCGGGUUGUAAACUGCUUUUGUACGGAACGAAACGGCGAGCUCUAAUACAGUUGCUA
rnacentral:rRNA from 1 species